rnacentral:lncRNA from 1 species
ACUCUACCUACUAAGCUACCUAGCUGCACAUAUGACAUAUAUAAAUAUAAGUUUGAUAUAAGUAAAAAUGUGAUAAGGAUAGACAGAGCAUUCUUGGAAAAUUUGGGGAAGGAGAAAUGACUUUUUUUUAAACCCUUACCUUUUCGCUUAGAAUUGAUAGUGAGUCUGAGUUCCAAGGCAUAAAAGCAACAAAGUCUAGGCAAUUGGGAUUAUGUGACUUGCCUGGGGUCACAACAACUAGGUAAUUUAUGAGGCUAGAUUUAAACUCAGGACCUCUGGUCUCCAGACCCUAUCCACUGAGCCACCUAGUUUCCCCUGAGAUGACUUUUAACUGAGGUAUCAGAGCCUUCAAACUUUUAUAGAGGGAGGGACACCUGAACUGAGCUUUAAAGGAAACAGAUUUUUCAAUAGAACAACAAAAAAUUGAGGGGGGUAAGGAGGGAAAAACGAAAGGGAACUCAGAUUUUUUCGAUCACUUUUCCAGUUCCCUCUGAUGGUAAUACCCAUCCUCAACUAGGUAUGAUGAUGUCAUCAGCUCCCUCAUAAUGGCUAGGUGGGGAGAGGGAAGGAUGAUCUAACAGAGGGAAUUAUUGUGGGCAGAGCCUCCAAAAGUUAAGGCACCCAGGAAUACAGGCACAGACAACAGGAGGCACCAGCCCUGUUACUUUGCCCCACAGAAAGGCCAACCUCAGAGUGGAGCCAACACGGAGGAGAGAGGGGCUGGGACUAAGCAUAUUCCGAAGCUGGGGGCAGUGUGCCAAAUACCAAUGGAAAAAACCUCGGGUCCCUCAGUUUCUGAGCGGCUCCGGAGUCACCACUCUGACAGAAGAGGAGGGAAUCACACAAGCAGUGGAAGGCAUGCCAACAAAGACUUCAGAAACCAUCAGAGCCAGAGGAAAUAUCGGGCAGGAACUUCAUAUUCCCAUCUACCUCAGGAAAGACAUGCUAUAAACACCAGAUAUGGGGACCAUGCUAAAUCCAACCAAUCACAUCGAACUGAACAGGAGCUGGUAGGACCCUUGCCCAAGGGCCGCACUUCGGUAAGAAUUGUUCACAGAGUGAAGAUCACCAGACUAUGGCAGGGAUACAGGGGACUUUAA